UCAGAGAAAAGAUUUUCUUCCUUUCUAUAAUCCCCAAAAUUAUUAUUUUAAAUAAACUAUUCUCUG
rnacentral:tRNA from 1 species